rnacentral:rRNA from 1 species
GUGGGGAAUCUUGCACAAUGGGCGAAAGCCUGAUGCAGCCAUGCCGCGUGAAUGAUGAAGGCCUUAGGGUUGUAAAAUUCUUUCGUCAGGGAUGAUCAUGACCGUACCUGAAGAAGAAGCCCCGGCUAACUUCGUGCCAGCAGCCGCGGUAAUACGAAGGGGGCUAGCGUUGUUCGGAAUUACUGGGCGUAAAGCGCACGUAGGCGGACUUUUAAGUCAGGUGUGAAAUCCCGGGGCUCAACCUCGGAACUGCAUUUGAAACUGGAAGUCUUGAGAUCAGGAGAGGUUAGCGGAAUACCGAGUGUAGAGGUGAAAUUCGUAGAUAUUCGGUGGAACACCAGUGGCGAAGGCGGCUAACUGGACUGAUACUGACGCUGAGGUGCGAAAGUGUGGGGAGCAAACAGGAUUAGAAACCCCGGUAGUCC